ACGAACUCUGGUAUUGAUUGGUGCUUGCAUCAUGAUUUACAUUUGAGUGAGUGGCGAACUGGUGAGUAACACGUGGGAAACCUGCCCAGAAGCGGGGGAUAACACCUGGAAACAGAUGCUAAUACCGCAUAACAACUUGGACCGCAUGGUCCGAGCUUGAAAGAUGGCUUCGGCUAUCACUUUUGGAUGGUCCCGCGGCGUAUUAGCUAGAUGGUGGGGUAACGGCUCACCAUGGCAAUGAUACGUAGCCGACCUGAGAGGGUAAUCGGCCACAUUGGGACUGAGACACGGCCCAAACUCCUACGGGAGGCAGCAGUAGGGAAUCUUCCACAAUGGACGAAAGUCUGAUGGAGCAACGCCGCGUGAGUGAAGAAGGGUUUCGGCUCGUAAAACUCUGUUGUUAAAGAAGAACAUAUCUGAGAGUAACUGUUCAGGUAUUGACGGUAUUUAACCAGAAAGCCACGGCUAACUACGUGCCAGCAGCCGCGGUAAUACGUAGGUGGCAAGCGUUGUCCGGAUUUAUUGGGCGUAAAGCGAGCGCAGGCGGUUUUUUAAGUCUGAU
rnacentral:rRNA from 2 species